rnacentral:sRNA from 1 species
CCGAAAGGCGAGUUCCCUGAGUGGGAGUU